ACUACAACAAUAGAAACUAUGUUAUCUAAUUAGUAAUGUUUAGGCUCGCCGGAGGUGGAUGGAAGAAAACUAGUCGGCGAUAAUAUCCUUAUAAUAAUCAUAUUCAAAGUUACAUUUAAAUGAAAAGACUAAAAACUAGUGCUUAUCUCUAAGGAUGAGAAUAUUCUAACUUAAUAUUACGAUUCCCACAUCGCGCGGGUUCUGGUAUUACGCCGCGUCAGCUAUACGGGUCGUAUUCGUACGUGGGAAUGGGAAUGCAUGUUGCGCUGGCUCACUAUGUAUCAGCCGCUGGCUUCGCCUGCGUAACAAAAGACUCAAUAUUGUUAGUA